rnacentral:rRNA from 1 species
AUUGAACGCUGGCGGAAUGCUUUACACAUGCAAGUCGAACGGCAGCACGGGGCAACCUGGUGGCGAGUGGCGAACGGGUGAGUAAUACAUCGGAACGUGCCCAAUCGUGGGGGAUAACGUAGCGAAAGUUACGCUAAUACCGCAUACGAUCUACGGAUGAAAGCGGGGGAUCGCAAGACCUCGCGCGAAUGGAGCGGUCGAUGUCAGAUUAGGUGGUUGGUGGGGUAAAGGCUCACCAAGCCAACGAUCUGUAGCUGGUCUGAGGGGACGACCAGCCACACUGGGACUGAGACACGGCCCAGACUCCUACGGGAGGCAGCAGUGGGGAAUUUUGGACAAUGGGCGCAAGCCUGAUCCAGCCAUUCCGCGUGCAGGAUGAAGGCCUUCGGGUUGUAAACUGCUUUUGUACGGAACGAAACGGUGAGCUCUAAUACAGUUUGCUAAUGACGGUACCGUAAGAAUAAGCACCGGCUAACUACGUGCCAGCCGCCACAGUAACAC